GCAAGUCGAGGGGACAGAUGGGAGCUUGCUCCCUGAUGUCAGCGGCGGACGGGUGAGUAACACGUGGGUAACCUGCCUGUAAGACUGGGAUAACUCCGGGAAACCGGGGCUAAUACCGGAUGCUUGAUUGAACCGCAUGGUUCAAUUAUAAAAGGUGGCUUUUAGCUACCACUUACAGAUGGACCCGCGGCGCAUUAGCUAGUUGGUGAGGUAACGGCUCACCAAGGCAACGAUGCGUAGCCGACCUGAGAGGGUGAUCGGCCACACUGGGACUGAGACACGGCCCAGACUCCUACGGGAGGCAGCAGUAGGGAAUCUUCCGCAAUGGACGAAAGUCUGACGGAGCAACGCCGCGUGAGUGAUGAAGGUUUUCGGAUCGUAAAACUCUGUUGUUAGGGAAGAACAAGUACCGUUCGAAUAGGGCGGUACCUUGACGGUACCUAACCAGAAAGCCACGGCUAACUACGUGCCAGCAGCCGCGGUAAUACGUAGGUGGCAAGCGUUGUCCGGAAUUAUUGGGCGUAAAGCGCGCGCAGGCGGUUUCUUAAGUCUGAUGUGAAAGCCCCCGGCUCAACCGGGGAGGGUCAUUGGAAACUGGGGAACUUGAGUGCAGAAGAGGAGAGUGGAAUUCCACGUGUAGCGGUGAAAUGCGUAGAGAUGUGGAGGAACACCAGUGGCGAAGGCGACUCUCUGGUCUGUAACUGACGCUGAGGCGCGAAAGCGUGGGGAGCGAACAGGAUUAGAUACCCUGGUAGUCCACGCCGUA
rnacentral:rRNA from 1 species